UCAGCGGGCACUGCGGGCGGCGCGCACGGCGCAGGACGCGGCUUCCCUCCCCUUCGGCCGCCCCGCCCCCGCCCCGCCUGCCGGAACACCGAGGGGGUCUUCCCCGCCGGCGGGGUCUGGCCUGUUGGGCCGCGCAGGACUGCUGCCCUCGGCUCCAAGACCAACAGGCAGGGGCAUCUGGGGGUUAGGAUGGUCCAGGUCAGCCCGGUGGGACCCGGGCAAGUCCCACAAGCCCCCGCCUCGGUUUUUCCUGCUCUGCACGGGGACCCGCUCAUCGGACCUACCUUGGACGGUGCCGGCAAGGGCCAACUGACAAGGACCAAGUGAUGCCGGCCCAUGCUGGGACCCAAGCAGACGCUCACUCUGCCUUCCACCACUCCAGGUCUCCUCAGCGCGAUGCCCCAGCCUCUGGGCGGCAGCCAUAUCUGCUGCUGUGUGGACUCUCCAGGCUCCAGGCUCAGACGUGGUCCUUGUGCUGACUGCAGCCCUGAAUAACACCCCCACUCUGUGUGGUGGGCCCGCUGGUACACGCCUGCUCUCUGCGACGAGCCAGGAUUCUCGGCUUCUUGGGAUGCUGGACCGGGGAAGCAGGGACAGCUUGUUCUCCAGCAGACUGCCGCCUUGCAGACACCCAGAGCGGCUCCAGAGAGACCAGACUCUGUGCUGAAAUUAGCUCCGCUAACUGGGCUGCUGGUGAGACCCAACGUGCUCCCUGUGGCCUAGAAACAGCCGGGCUUCCGACUCAUGGGUGGAUGGGCACUGUGGGAUGGGCCUCUGCUCUGCAGGAGUAAAGAAAUGGUGUGUA